UGCAGUCGAGCGAACAGAUAAGGAGCUUGCUCCUUUGACGUUAGCGGCGGACGGGUGAGUAACACGUGGGUAACCUACCUAUAAGACUGGAAUAACUCCGGGAAACCGGGGCUAAUGCCGGAUAACAUAUAGAACCGCAUGGUUCUAUAGUGAAAGAUGGUUUUGCUAUCACUUAUAGAUGGACCCGCGCCGUAUUAGCUAGUUGGUAAGGUAAUGGCUUACCAAGGCGACGAUACGUAGCCGACCUGAGAGGGUGAUCGGCCACACUGGAACUGAGACACGGUCCAGACUCCUACGGGAGGCAGCAGUAGGGAAUCUUCCGCAAUGGGCGAAAGCCUGACGGAGCAACGCCGCGUGAGUGAUGAAGGGUUUCGGCUCGUAAAACUCUGUUAUUAGGGAAGAACAUAUGUGUAAGUAACUGUGCACAUCUUGACGGUACCUAAUCAGAAAGCCACGGCUAACUACGUGCCAGCAGCCGCGGUAAUACGUAGGUGGCAAGCGUUAUCCGGAAUUAUUGGGCGUAAAGCGCGCGUAGGCGGUUUCUUAAGUCUGAUGUGAAAGCCCACGGCUCAACCGUGGAGGGUCAUUGGAAACUGGGAAACUUGAGUGCAGAAGAGGAAAGUGGAAUUCCAUGUGUAGCGGUGAAAUGCGCAGAGAUAUGGAGGAACACCAGUGGCGAAGGCGACUUUCUGGUCUGUAACUGACGCUGAUGUGCGAAAGCGUGGGGAUCAAACAGGAUUAGAUACC
rnacentral:rRNA from 1 species